rnacentral:rRNA from 1 species
GGGGGGGGGGCAAGCGUUGUUCGGAAUUACUGGGGCGUAAAGGGCGCGCAGGCGGCCCGGCCAGUCCUACGUGAAAUCCCACAGCUCAACUGUGGAACUGCGUGGGAUACUGCCAGGCUUGAGUCCGGGAGAGGUGAGUGGAAUUCCCAGUGUAGCGGUGAAAUGCGUAGAUAUUGGGAGGAACACCGGUGGCGAAGGCGGCUCUCUGGACCGGCACUGACGCUGAGGCGCGAAAGCUAGGGGAGCAAACGGGAUUAGAUACCCCGGUAGUCCUAGCCCUAAACGAUGAGCACUUUGUGUGGCGGGUAUCGACCCCUGCCGUGCAGAAGCUAACGCAUUAAGUGCUCCGCCUGGGGAGUACGGUCGCAAGGCUG